UAAUGAAAGCAGUCUCCUCUAUAGAGAUUACAGUAUUUGCAGAAGGGAACGGAAUGUAAGAGUAUUUUACUUAUGCAAGGAUAUAAAAUUAUCAUCUGGCAAUUAACAAUCUGAAGGGCUGAUUCUGCAGGGUUUAUACUAAGC